CCUACGGGUGGCAGCAGUGAGGAAUAUUGGUCAAUGGACGAGAGUCUGAACCAGCAAAGUAGCGUGAAGGAUGACUGCCCUAUGGGUUGUAAACUUCUUUUAUAAAGGAAUAAAACGAGGCACGUGUGCCUUUUUGCAUGUACUUUAUGAAUAAGGAUCGGCUAACGCCGUGCCAGCGGCCGCGGUAAUACGGAGGAUCCGAGCGUUAUCCGGAUUUAUUGGGUUUAAGGGGAGCGUAGAUGGGUUUUUAAGUAAGUUGUGAACGUUUGCGGCUCAACCGGAAAAUUGCAAUGGAUACUGGAAGUCUGGAGUACAGUAGAGGUAAGUGGAAUUCGUGGUGUAGCGGUGAAAUGCGUAGAUAUCACGAAGAACCCCGAUUGCGAAGGCAGCUUACUAAACUGUGACUGACAUUGAUGCUCGAAAGUGUGGGUAUCAAACAGGAUUAGAUACCCCAGUAGUC
rnacentral:rRNA from 1 species